rnacentral:sRNA from 1 species
AUAGACGAGUACCUUGACUAUCAGAUACCCGUUACUCUUACUCCUUGCAAGGAAGCAGUUUUCUAGAGUGCACAUCAGCUCCACUUCAAGACAAAUAAGCGUUUUAGCGGCACAAAAUGGGGUAAAAGAUUCCAAAAGGUGAGCAACGAGGAGUACAAAUUUCACAUAAAUACGUUACGAAAGUUUUUAACAUUAGGAUACACAUAAGACUGGCUUAAAAUUCACAAAAUUCACGUCCGUUGGAGAUUUAGUACUAUAGAAUAUGAUUCCGUCUUAAGAAAAUAAGUUAAAAACAUAUAAAUUCAAUGUCCACGCAGAACCUCUUAAGGUUUCAAACCCCAGAUUAGUAGUGCCUCUCUUUCACACCCAUUGGUGGGAUUUUCGACAUGGGGCAUACUUUUGGUAUGUCGUUCGAAACGUACUAUUUUUACUUUCGGCUACCUGCCUAUGCAACUCCCAGGCCACUCGUUGUGCCGCAUCGUCCCGUCUCCUCACUCCACGUAACUCGAAACGUGUGCAACACAUGUGAGUGUGUGUGCCUUGUAUCUGUGAUUUUGGGAACCCAAAAAGGUAACUCACAGAAGGCGCAUGUGUGAGUGGGGUCUGUAUGAGUGCAGUCAAAGACCGGAAAUCUCUAAUGAUAGCAGUUUUCUUCUUUUAGAAUGUGUCCUCUCUUUCUUCUUCUUAUUUUUCUUCGUAUUGACGUCUUUUUCUGUAGUCUUCUAAAUUUGUUUGUCUUCAAUUUGCACCUGGCUUCGACCUGCAGCUUCUCCUGGCGCCUCUUCAUUUCGAUACCCUAGGAACUGUGGCCGAGCAUGCCAAAUACAUUUUGGAAUGCAGCUCCAUGGAGAAAGAGGUUUAUAUCUAUGCAUUGUAAUAGAUUUAAACAACUUGUGUAGUCGAAAAAGCAUUGUGAGUUUCACUAUGCCCCCAUGCUCCCGGUACAAAAUAGGGUAGCACAAAUGUCGACCUGCUAAAUGGGUCUGCCCCAUCCCAACCGCUUUUUCAGUAUGCAAGUCACAUCAAAAUGUCUCGACUGCUGCUGUGGUUAGUUUCCAGCUUAUGCAAAUGUGCCCAGCGGAGGUAAGCACACAUGCAAUGACCUACACCGCUCCCAGAACCCCCCUCUACACCCCUGGGCUUCCUACCAUGCGAUCAGCUUCGUAACCUGGCCUUGAUCGUGGUAUUUUUUGCGUGCAGGAAACUCUAUUCGCUCAAUCACUCGCAGCUUGGUCUUCACCCUUUCACGAUGCCCCUUUGCCACACCUCUGCCGCUCUGCAGUGGCUCGAAGCUUCUAGCCCUCUCGAAUAUUAAUUAGGAAAGAAAUCAUUGUGAGCUGACGAGUGAGGAGAAUGCAACAGAACUCUUCAUGAUUCAGGGUAACAAUUAAAAAAUGGCACUAGAUAUUGGUAAUCAAGAUUCAAAGGUAGUGCCUUAGGAUUGUGGCUUCAUUAAUCAGCGACCACUAGAGUGCUUCAUUAGAAGCCACAAAAAUAUUUCAUAAAAAGUGUAUAAAUAAAUAAUUCAUUAUUGACCGUUUGGAGAAACCGAAGAGGAGGAGCCAUGCACUUAUUGAAAUGCAUGGCAAGCAGAUGGAAAACGUGGGUCAGAAAACAAUAGAAAUAUAAACUCAAGAAAUAUUCAAAAAGUGUGCUUUACGAAUAUUAGCUAUAUCUAGAAUCGUCAGAUACGAUUAAGCACAAUGAAACACACAGGAACUCGACGAAACAGAAAGCAUCAUGAAACACAAGUAUCUUUAAUAUCCAAUUACACUAAAAGUUCAUACUGAAGGCAUUUUCGUUGUAAGCUAAUAUUAAUUAGAGUUCCCAAACCCUUGAAACAGUCUCACUAGGAUUAAUUGGCCAUAUUUUGUGCCAGCUGUGAAACAAAUACUUUCAAAAGUGCCGGUUGCAACUAACUCAUAUUUAACAGUCCCCUUUUGCAAGUUUAACUUCCGAAUCGUAAUUGCUCAUUUUGCAGUUUUUGAUUUUAAACACUUCAGCAAGUUUAGCAACUAUCGCAAAACUUGCUAAAACCGUUUUAAGGCCACUCAAAACGAACCAUCUUCUCAUGUUUAAUUUGCUUCAUUUUGGGAUCGUCCAAAUCUUGCCUUAUUUGUCGCCAUUUGCCAGUUAAAACUUCAAACUGUGCGAGACACAUUUGACUUUUGGACAAUCAAUCUAUCGGUCCACGGGGGAGAUUCCGCAAGGAGGAAAAUCAGCGGGAAAGCGGGAAAAACUGCAAUGCGGGAACGGGUGUCGAUUUUGGGAGUUUUUGGGAGCAGGGUGGCUCGUACGGAGAGAUGAAUGCUCUACAUAUGCUGGUCAAACAUUGUCCCGCUGGUUGGAAGGUUGGUAGUGUAAAGGCUGUUGACCUUAUUGGCUUUUCCAGCUUUCCCCCAUCGCUUUUCCCAUAAAUCAACACUACUCAUUUUCCGAUAGAUCAAGAAUAAUAGUUAUUGUUGUUAUUUAUGCACCAUUUUUUUUUUUUUUUUGCAGCCAAUGAUUUUUGGUUGUAAGUGUUUACUUUUCUGCGUUCCCCAAUCCUUAUCACAGCUCGUAAUGACCUAAUUUUUCGUGUUUUUUUGUACUAUUGCUAAUUUGUAUUCAACAGUGCGCCCUUUUUAACAGAGGAGGAGAGAAAGCCAGGACAAACAAAGCCCUCAUUCGGGGACCGGCUUCGAUGGUCAUUUUGUGGUUCAAUCAAUCUUUGACGCAUUCAAACAAUGGAACGGAUAAAUGCUAUUUAUGAAAUGCGGUGGGGGUUCAUUUCUUGUUAAAUUAGGCGUGUUCUGCAAUGCAAUGUGGACGUGUAUCAUGGCAAUUAAAUGGUUAAGACUCUUAUGGAAGCCACUCCACUAUUGGUCAUCAUUAGCUAGGGAAUCAAAAAUCGAUCCCUUAGUUUUAGACUUGUUUCCCCCUGUCGAAUUUCCAUUUUUCUUAUAUUGGAGAGAAAUUUGUUAGCCAAAGGCGCUUACUGGCUUAUGAAAUGCCAAUCCAGAAAGCAAGCUUGUUAACGGAAAAUGUGCAGUGGCAAACGAAAGGAGAUUUUCAGUUCGUUUCCGAGAUUGUGGAUUGUGUGGCAGGAGCAGCUUGACAGGAGCAGGACAUCGAGAAUGUGUCCCCCAAAGGGAGUCGGUCAGUCGACAUGCGAAAUGGAAACACUUUUUCAGCCAUAGACACAGGAAUAACAGUAUAAUAUCACGUCGCAAUGUUGAUGAAUAUGACCACCCACCCAAACCUUUUCCAACAAAAAUAUGUGAGGGAAAGAACAGCAAAUGUAGAACGCACAAACCGAAAAGGAGAUGCAGCGGAGCACUAAUCGAAUUUCCAUAGGUGGAUGUGCCUCAUUUCCUCGGGCCCAUAGCCCACUGGAUUAUUAUGGACAGAUUCAUACACCUAAGAAAAAAUUGUAUAUAUGUACAUAUAUGGAAAACAUUGUGGAAAACAGUAAGCAACCAAUUAAUACGCCUAUUCAACCGGUGGUCGCUUUACGAUCACCGUUGCCUAUUGGAUAUCAGACUUUCGCUUUUGAUGGUGGUUUUUGGUUUAUUUUUCCGAUCCGCUCUGUUUACAGCACUCGAGUUAAAUUGACUAGCUGUUAUGAAACGCAAUGUGCAUCUUUGUUUACGUUAUCGAACCGAAACCCCUGGCAUCACCAUUCGCUCUAUAUUGUUUAAAUUACAUAUUUAUCUCUUUCACAGUCAAUUCCCUUGAACAAUCUUCGUAAAUUAUUACGCUGUGCUCCCAUUGCUAAGUUAUUUUUUUACAGUUUUUUCGCGCCUUAACCUUCCCCAUUCGCAACUUAAAAACAACAAUGAGCGAGACAAAGAGCUUGAAAAGUCAUUUCAUCUUCGUCUCUCGGUCGUUUUCAAAACUUUUGGCGUUUUUUGUUUGUCUUUUUGGCUUGAAAAACGAUUUCGUUGCACUGUUAACUGUUAAACUAAUGUCACAAGUUAAUGAAUAGAGAGUGGGAGAUAUGGAAAAAAAAUAUAUUUGGGAACAGGACGGGUCCUAAGGCGCGACCCAGCCCCAAGUUAAAGCCAAUUAUAAAACUGCCCAGGCCUUUGCUUUUUGGCUCCGUGUGUUUGCUGUGUAAGCCGAGAUGAUGGCAGAAAAUGUCUGUGGGAACCUUAAACCAACCAAAGAAAAUGCAAACAAAAACCAAAACCUGGCCAUAGUGUUUUUGCACCGAAACAAGUGUUGUUUAUAGCGAGGUACAUAAAUAAAUACCUUAAAAAUCAAAAACUACGCAAAUAUUAAACACAAAUUCUGAACCCUUGCAAAAACACUGUUUGAACAUAUCUAGUUGGUUAAGAAAAUGAUUCAAAAUGAUUAGGAAAAAUGAUCUUCUGUGUACGACUUGAAGAAGGAAGGGAAGGGAGGCGGAAAACAAGUGCGGAAAGACAAGGCGAAAGAAAGCAGCUGGUCAAACAAUUUGCAUAUUCAUUUUCCAGAUUUCUUCGCCAUAUUUUUUCGUUUCCUAGUCAGACAGACAGUUUGACAUUAACUGGAAAGUGGGCGGAAGGCGGUGGAGCACCUGCAAUGGGCGGGACGAAUCGAAUGGCCGAACAGAAACACAAAUAUAUAAAAGAACCGCCAGACACACAGAAAAGCAAAGCAUACGGCGGACGAUAAAGCUCACAGAAUAUUUAGCUAGUUCAGCAUUUUCCACGCUCGGUUGCAGUGGAUACCCCACACUUUCAGACCAACUUCCAAGGUCAUCGGAUUGCACUGAGUGGAAACCCAAUUAUCGCAAAAGUAUUUAUGCACCUGAUCAGUGUGGUUUCCAUUUCAUUACUCGAUAAACUUGAGACUCCUCAUUAGCGUUCCCUAUCUGCAGAGUUCUGUUUGCACAAUCCAUGGAAAUAUGGAACGCCCCCGCAAAACCGAAGGCCCCCAAAUACAAACAGCAACACAAACAGAGCCUAAGGGUCUCUUUGCGGUGACUCCAUCCUCUCCAAAAUGCCUGGAACUCUGCGCCAUAAACUAUUUAGACUCCCCAUGCUGGAAACCCCAGUGCAAAUGUGAGGUUAUGGGCGUAAGCCCCUCGCGAGCUGCGAAUCUGAAAUUUGUUGAUUUUGUAUUUAAUAUUUAGUUUGGCGAUACGUAAUACAAUGCGCAAUAUAUUGUUUGGAUCCGCAGCCUGGGGGCAAGGAUUUACUGUGUAAACAAAUCGCCGCCUAAAUGAACAAAUGCACAAGGCUUUAGAGAAACAAUUGUUUUAAUUAAUAACUGAUCGAUGACAAACACGGGCUUAUGCUCUCUGUAAGAAUGGGUUAAAGAAUGGUGCUCGACAUGGUUACAAUAUAAUUCCAUGUACCGAGAGCUGAACUCAAAUUAGAAUUAUAUCGCACUCUUCUUACGUGCCGUUGCAGCUCAACUUAAUUAUCGUUAAUCUGGAACAUCUUAAAAAUAUGCAUGUGAAUGUGAAAAAGAUACGCGCAAGAAAGAAAUAUUUCACAGGGCAAGAAAAAAAAUCAAGAAAUACAGUAAUAAAAAGAAUUUUUAAACUUCCUUGGAAGGUAAUUCAAUGCUUUUUGGGCAUUUAUGAAAAACGGAAUUCUGAAACCGAAGCUUCGGUGAGAACUUAGUGCCAACAUUUUAAUUAGCGAACUUAUUAUAAAAUAUGAUUCCGAGUAAAAAGCUAAGCUCAUAAUAUUCACACGCUAA